rnacentral:rRNA from 1 species
GGUUGAUCCUGCCAGUAUUAUAUGCUGAUGUUAAAGAUUAAGCCAUGCAUGUGUAAGUUUAAAGUCCUAGAUGGAUGAAACUGCGGACGGCUCAUUAUAACAGUAAUAGUUUCUUUGGUUAGUAUCUAUAAGGAUAACUUUGUGAAUGAUAAAGCUAAUACUUGAGACGAUCCUGUUUGUGGUAACACAAAUAGGCCAAGCUCCGCAAGGAGCGAGACAAUGAUACUCUCUAUGAAUAAGGGUACCACGACAAUUGUAGAACACGGAGUGUUUCACAAGUAACCAAUGAGAAU